UGCUAAGACUGGAUAGGAAAAGUAAGGGCAUCUUUACUUUUUUAAAAGACCUUCUUUGAAGGUAUGCUUAAGGAGGGGCUUGCGACACAUUAGUUAGUUGGCAGGGUAAAGGCCUACCAAGACUAUGAUGUGUAGCUGGACUGAGAGGUUGAACAGCCACAUUGGGACUGAGACACGGCCCAAACUCCUACGGGAGGCAGCAGUAGGGAAUUUUCGGCAAUGGGGGAAACUCUGACCGAGCAACGCCGCGUGAACGAUGAAGUACCUCGGUAUGUAAAGUUCUUUUAUUAAGGAAGAAAAAAGAGUGGAAAAACUCCCUUGACGGUACUUAAUGAAUAAGCCCCGGCUAAUUAUGUGCCAGCAGCCGCGGUAAUACAUAAGGGGCGAGCGUUAUCCGGAAUUAUUGGGCGUAAAGGGUGCGUAGGCGGUUUAAUAAGUCUAUAGUUUAAUUUCAGCGCUUAACGCUGUUGUGCUAUAGAAACUGUUUUACUAGAGUGAGUUAGAGGCAAGCGGAAUUCCAUGUGUAGCGGUAAAAUGCAUAAAUAUAUGGAGGAACACCAGAGGCGUANGCGGCUUGCUGGGACUUUACUGACGCUGGAGCACGAAAGCGUGGGGAGCGAACAGGAUUAGAUACCUUGGUAGUCCACGCCGUAAACGAUGAGUACUAAGUGUCAGGUAAAACCGGUACUGAAGUUAACACAUUAAGUACUCCGCUUGAGUAGUACGUACGCAAGUAUGAAACUUAAAGGAAUUGACGGGACUCCGCACAAGCGGUGGAUCAUGUUGUUUAAUUCGAAGAUACACGAAAAACCUUACCAGGUCUUGACAUUUUCUUGCGAAGUUAUAGAAAUAUAAUGAAGGUUAUCAGGAAAACAGGUGGUGCAUGGUUGUCGUCAGCUCGUGUCGUGAGAUGUUAGGUUAAGUUCUAAAACGAGCGCAACCCUUGUCGUUAAUUGCCAGCGUGUAAUGAUGGGGACUUUAACGAGACUGCCAAUGAAAAAUUGGAGGAAGGUGGGGAUUACGCCAAAUCAUCAUGCCCCUUAUGAUCUGGGCUACAAACGUGAUACAAUGGUUGAUACAAAGAGUAGCUGAAACGCGAGUUCUUAGCCAAUCUCACAAAAUCAAUCUCAGUUCGGAUUGAAGUCUGCAACUCGACUUCAUGAAGUUGGAAUCGCUAGUAAUCGCGAAUCAGCAUGUCGCGGUGAAUACGUUCACGGGGUUUGUACACACCGCCCGUCAAA
rnacentral:rRNA from 1 species